GCAGACACAUUCCAGCCAAUCAGCAGCAGACCCUCCCUCCCAGACCCUCCCACCUCCUGGCAGCAUCCAUUUUAUAUUCAUUGUGAAGCUGCAUUCUUAGUGAGCUGUCCAGGAGGUGGGAGGGUCUGGGAGGGAGGGUCUGCUGCUGAUUGGCUGGAAUGUGUCUG